GCCAGUAGAAGAACCUAGUAGAGUGCUAUCGGCAACAACUCCGUCUUGUUCAUGCGGAUGCAAAAGAAGACGUCCAUGCCCACGUCCACGUCCAUGUCCACCUCCACGUCCACACUAUUCAAGAAAUUAUACAGACCCUUGAAAAAGAAGAAUGAAGAAGAGAAAACAAGGAUCAAUUAUGGGAUUGGUACAAUAUAGUUGAGGGUAUUGUCUAAUGUAGUACUUUUGAAUAUGCUUAUAGAUUUAGACAUAUUAAAGACUAUUUUCUCCUUUUAAAUCAAUGAAGAAAAUACUUGAGUUCAAUCCUUCUUUUGCCUUUGCAUAACCGUCUCUCAUCCACACCAACAAAACAAAUCCCAGAACCUUCUUUUGCAGAAUUUUAAAGACACACAAAGCAAUGAAUAAGAACACUUGGUUUACAAUAACGAUCGAAACUGGUUUACAAUAAUGACCGAAUAUGGUUUGCAAAUAUAGAUGAAUUGGAAUUUAAUUGAUUCGAUCUAUAUCUAAAAUUAAAUUUCUUGGGUUCCCUAAAUACUAUCCUCUUAGGGUUUAGAUUUCUAUUAUCAAAACUCUCGUUUAAUUUGAGCAAAUUGGUUAAUCGGAGAGGUUAGGGAAAACAACGUUUUCUGGUAUAAAGAGACGAGAGAAACGGUAUUGAUGGAGUUAAAAGUGAUGAUGUUGAUGAAAUACUGAGUCAACGUUAAUAAGGCAAGAGCCGACUGUGAGAAGCAAGGUUUCAUGGUUGGGAAUUUUGUUGCGCAACGGAGAAGAUGAAGUGAA